UGGUUAAGAACAUUUGGAAAA
ensembl:piRNA 21ur-2141 ncRNA